GGCUCUUCUCCACAGAGGCGGUGUGUUUGUCGCACAUGGCGCUGAUCUCCAUGCCGCGCUCCCUCUCCUUAUCGCCCUGGCGAAAAAACUCCUCCAUGAUCCUCUCUGUCCACUGCCGGUACAAAGAGCACCAUCUUAAAUGAACUUUGGAACUCCUUCUGUUAUAUGUCAUUUGAAUCUCUUAUAUGUGGGACUCACUGGUGUUGAUGAGGAACUGAUUAGAAACUCCAGGAUGAUCAACAUCAUGAAUGGCGGCGGCAAAGAGGGCAGCAAGGAUCUCCAGGUCAGUGAAGACAGCCUGAGGGGAAAGACCCAAAUAAGGAACAUUGAAAAUUUUUUUGAAGUAGGGUUUCCACUCAUGUUCCACUUCAUUUUUUUUCUCAUGUGACAUACGUCGAGGGCCGGAGUGGAGAGGAGCACGUGUGUGGACUGGGUGACAUCGGCAGCGUGGAGGCUGUUGUGGUACGCUACGUUGCCGUGGUAAUGGUCUUCCAGUGUCAUCACAGACACUUGGGCAGGGCGGAAGUAGUGAAUUGGCGAUGGAGAAUGACAUCAAGUUCUCAGUCGAGUAGACCAUAUUUAAAUUUUCGCCAGACCUUGGCGAG